GAUGAACGCUAGCUACAGGCUUAACACAUGCAAGUCGAGGGGCAGCAGGGAUUUAGCUUGCUAAAUCCGCUGGCGACCGGCGCACGGGUGCGUAACGCGUAUCCAACUUUCCCGUUACUCAGGGAUAGCCUUCCGAAAGGGAGAUUAAUACCUGAUGGUGUUUGAAAUUUGCAUGUUCUUCAAACUAAAGAUUUAUCGGUAACGGAUAGGGAUGCGUGACAUUAGAUAGUAGGCGGGGUAACGGCCCACCUAGUCUACGAUGUCUAGGGGUUCUGAGAGGAAGGUCCCCCACACUGGAACUGAGACACGGUCCAGACUCCUACGGGAGGCAGCAGUGAGGAAUAUUGGUCAAUGGUCGGAAGACUGAACCAGCCAGGUAGCGUGAAGGAUGAAGGUUCUAUGGAUUGUAAACUUCUUUUAUACGGGAAUAAAACAUCCCACGUGUGGGAUCUUGUAUGUACCGUAUGAAUAAGCAUCGUCUAACUCCGUGCCAGCCGCCGCCGUAAUAC
rnacentral:rRNA from 1 species